UACAGGGGGUGCAAACGUUGCUCGGAAUUAUUGGGCGUAAAGCGCACGUAGGCGGUUUGUUAUGUCGGAUGUGAAAGCCCUUGGCUCAACUGAGGAAGUGCAUCCGAAACUGGCAAGCUAGAGUAUGUAAGAGGGUCGCGGAAUUCCCGGUGUAGAGGUGAAAUUCGUAGAUAUUAGGAAGAACACCAGUGGCGAAGGCGGCUCACUGGUCCGGUACUGACGCUGAGGUGCGAAAGCGUGGGGAGCAAACAGG
rnacentral:rRNA from 1 species